ensembl:ncRNA T28H11.31 ncRNA
CCGGUUUUGGGGUAGGUUUCCACGGCGGCCGACAAUUUCCGAGUUUCGCCACUCACUAUACUUAAUCAGCAAUUUUAUAGUGAGUGGCGAAACUCGGAAAUUGUCGGCCGUCGUGGAUAGCUACCCCCAACCGGACGCAUGUGCGUC